rnacentral:rRNA from 1 species
UACGUAGGGUGCGAGCGUUGUCCGGAAUUACUGGGCGUAAAGAGCUCGUAGGUGGUUUGUCACGUCGUCUGUGAAAUUCCGGGGCUUAACCUCGGGCGUGCAGGCGAUACGGGCAAUACUUGAGUGCUGUAGGGGAGACUGGAAUUCCUGGUGUAGCGGUAGAAAUGCGCAGAUAUCAGGAGGAACACCAAUGGCGAAGGCAGGUCUCUGGGCAGUUACUGACGCUGAGGAGCGAAAGCGUGGGUAGCAAACAGGAUUAGAUA